UGCCAGCCGCCGCGGUAAGACAGAGGAGGCAAGCGUUGUUCGGAAUCAUUGGGCUUAAAGCGAUGUAGGCGGCUUGGCAAGUGUUGUGUGAAAGCCCGCAGCUUAACUGCGGAAUUGCAUGGCAAACUGACUGGCUUGAGGUCGGUAGAGGUGUCUGGAACUCUAGGUGGAGCGGUGAAAUGCGUAGAUAUCUAGAGGAACGCCGGAGGCGAAAGCGGGACACUGGGCCGAUUCUGACGCUGAGAUCCGAAAGCGUGGGGAGCAAACAGGAUUAGAUA
rnacentral:rRNA from 1 species